AAUUCGAUUAACGCGAAGAACCUUACCUACUCUUGACAUCCAGAGAAGCUUUUAGAGAUAGAGGCGUGCCUUCGGGAACUUUGAGACAGGUGCUGCAUGGCUGUCGUCAGCUCGUGUUGUGAAAUGUUGGGUUAAGUCCCGCAACGAGCGCAACCCUUAUCCUUUGUUGCCAGCGAUACGGUCGGGAACUCAAAGGAGACUGCCGGUGAUAAACCGGAGGAAGGUGGGGAUGACGUCAAGUCAUCAUGGCCCUUACGAGUAGGGCUACACACGUGCUACAAUGGCGUAUACAGAGAGAGGCGAGCCUGCGAGGGGAAGCGGAACUCAGAAAGUACAUCGAAGUCCGGAUUGGAGUCUGCAACUCGACUCCAUGAAGUCGGAAUCGCCAGUAAUCG
rnacentral:rRNA from 1 species